AGUGAACGCUGGCGGUAGGCCUAACACAUGCAAGUCGAACGGCAGCACAGUAAGAGCUUGCUCUUACGGGUGGCGAGUGGCGGACGGGUGAGGAAUACAUCGGAAUCUACUUUUUCGUGGGGGAUAACGUAGGGAAACUUACGCUAAUACCGCAUACGACCUACGGGUGAAAGCAGGGGAUCUUCGGACCUUGCGCGAUUGAAUGAGCCGAUGUCGGAUUAGCUAGUUGGCGGGGUAAAGGCCCACCAAGGCGACGAUCCGUAGCGGGUCUGAGAGGAUGAUCAGCCACACUGGAACUGAGACACGGUCCAGACUCCUACGGGAGGCAGCAGUGGGGAAUAUUGGGCAAUGGGCGCAAGCCUGAUCCAGCCAUGCCGCGUGGGUGAAGAAGGCCUUCGGGUUGUAAAGCCCUUUUGUUGGGAAAGAAAAGCAGCAGGUUAAUACCCCGCUGUUCUGACGGUACCCAAAGAAUAAGCACCGGCUAACUUCGUG
rnacentral:rRNA from 1 species